rnacentral:miRNA from 1 species
AAACUCAUUGACCAGAAGGGAUUCCUUCUGGUUGAUGAGGUGUAACAACCUCAUCAACCGGAAGGAAUCCCUUCUGGUUGAUGAGGUG